AAACGACUCUCGGCAACGGAUAUCUCGGCUCACGCAUCGAUGAAGAACGUAGCAAAAUGCGAUACUUGGUGUGAAUGGCAGAAUCCCGUGAACCAUCGAGUUUUUGAACGCAAGUAGCGCCCGAAGCCAUCCGGUUGAGGGCACGCUUGCCUGGGCGUCACG
rnacentral:rRNA from 1 species